rnacentral:rRNA from 1 species
UACGUAUGGGGCGAGCGUUGUUCGGAAUUAUUGGGUGUAAAGGGCGUCUAGGCGGGAAAUUAAGUUAUAUGUGAAAGGCGUGGGCUCAACCCACGAAUUGCAUCUAAAACUGGUUUUCUUGAGUUCGGGAGAGGAGAGCGGAAUUCUUGGUGUAGCGGUGAAAUGCGUAGAUAUCAAGAAGAACACCAGUGGCGAAGGCGGCUCUCUGGCCUAGAACUGACGCUGAAGCGCGAAAGCGUGGGUAGCGAACGGGAUUAGAUACCCGCGUAGUCCCUGA